GAUCAUGGCUCAGGAUGAACGCUAGCUACAGGCUUAACACAUGCAAGUCGAGGGGCAGCGGGAAGUCAGCUUGCUGACUUUGCCGGCGACCGGCGCACGGGUGAGUAACACGUAUCCAACCUUCCCGUUACUCUGGAAUAGCCUUUCGAAAGAAAGAUUAAUACCCAAUGAUAUCCCACGAAGGCAUCCGAAUGGGAUUAAAGAUUUAUCGGUGAUGGAUGGGGAUGCGUCUGAUUAG
rnacentral:rRNA from 1 species